rnacentral:pre_miRNA from 1 species
CAGAGGACGAGGGAUGUCAAAAUGAAGUGGUUCAGUAGUCAUCAUUUUGCGCCCAAAUCCUCCGCC